GAGGGUAUAGCUCAGUGGAAGAGUGCAUGCCUAGCAUGCAUGAGGUCUUCGGUACAAUCCCCAGUACCUCCA
rnacentral:tRNA from 1 species